AUUGAACGCUGGCGGCAUGCCUUACACAUGCAAGUCGAACGGUAACAGGUCUUCGGAUGCUGACGAGUGGCGAACGGGUGAGUAAUACAUCGGAACGUGCCUAGUAGUGGGGGAUAACUACGCGAAAGAGUGGCUAAUACCGCAUGAGAUCUGCGGAUGAAAGCAGGGGAUCGCAAGACCUUGUGCUACUAGAGCGGCCGAUGGCAGGUUAGGUAGUUGGUGGGAUAAAAGCUUACCAAGCCGACGAUCUGUAGCUGGUCUGAGAGGACGAUCAGCCACACUGGGACUGAGACACGGCCCAGACUCCUACGGGAGGCAGCAGUGGGGAAUUUUGGACAAUGGGCGCAAGCCUGAUCCAGCAAUGCCGCGUGCAGGAUGAAGGCCUUCGGGUUGUAAACUGCUUUUGUACGGAACGAAAAGCCCUGGGUUAAUACCCUGGGGUCAUGACGGUACCGUAAGAAUAAGCACCGGCUAACUACGUGCCAGCCGCCGCCGUAA
rnacentral:rRNA from 1 species